rnacentral:rRNA from 1 species
GUGUCAGCCGCCGCGGUAAUACGAAGGGACCUAGCGUAGUUCGGAAUUACUGGGCUUAAAGAGUUCGUAGGUGGUUAAAAAAGUUGGUGGUGAAAUCCCAGAGCUUAACUCUGGAACUGCCAUCAAAACUUUUUAGCUAGAGUAUGAUAGAGGAAAGUAGAAUUUCUAGUGUAGAGGUGAAAUUCGUAGAUAUUAGAAAGAAUACCAAUUGCGAAGGCAGCUUUCUGGAUCAUUACUGACACUGAGGAACGAAAGCAUGGGUAGCGAAGAGGAUUAGAUACCCUCGUAGUCCAUGCCGUAAACGAUGUGUGUUAGACGUUGGAAAUUUAUUUUCAGUGUCGCAGCGAAAGCAAUAAACACACCGCCUGGGGAGUACGACCGCAAGGUUAAAACUCAAAUGAAUUGACGGGGACCCGCACAAGUAGUGGAGCAUGUGGUUUAAUUCGAAGAUACGCGCAGAACCUUACCAACACUUGACAUGUUCGUCGCGACUCUAAGAGAUUAGAGUUUCGGUUCGGCCGGACGAAACACAGGUGCUGCAUGGCUGUCGUCAGCUCGUGUCGUGAGAUGUUGGGUUAAGUCCCGCAACGAGCGCAACCCUUACUUUUAGUUGCCAUCAUUUAGUUGGGAACUCUAAAAGAACUGCCAGUGAUAAGCAGGAGGAAGGUGGGGAUGACGUCANGUCCUCAUGGCCCUUACGUGUUGGGCUACACACGUGCUACANUGNCAUUUACANUAGGANGCAAGGCGGCGACGUCANGCAANUCCUAAAAAANUGCCUCAGUUCGGAUUGCACUCUGCAACUCGAGUGCAUGAAGCUGGAAUUACUAGUAAUCGCGGAUCAGCGUGCCGCGGUGAAUGCGUUCCCGGGUCUUGCACACACCGCCCGUC